CUAAGAAUAUUCCGCAAUGGACGGAAGUCUGACGGAGCGACGCCGCGUGGAUGAAGAAGGCCGAAAGGUUGUAAAGUUCUUUUGCUGGGAAGAAUAACCGCAGGAGGGAAUGCCUGUGGGAUGACAAGAACCGGCGAAUAAGCCCCGGCCAACUACGUGCCAGCAGCCGCGGUAACACGUAGGGGGGCGAGCGUUGUUCGGAAUUACUGGGCGUAAAGGGCAUGUAGGCGGCUUGGAAAGCCUGGCGUGAAAGUCUGCAGCUUAACUGCAGGGGUGCGCUGGGAACUGCCGAGCUUGAGUGACGGAGAGGGAGCUGGAAUUCCUGGUGUAGGGGUGAAAUCUGUAGAUAUCAGGAAGAACACCGAUGGCGAAGGCAAGCUCCUGGCCGAUGACUGACGCUGAGGUGCGAAAGUGUGGGGAUCAAACAGGAUUAGAUACCCUGGUAGUCCACACAGUCAACGAU
rnacentral:rRNA from 1 species